rnacentral:lncRNA from 1 species
CACUUUGGGAGGCCCAGGUGGGUGGAUCACUUGAGGUCAGGAGUUUCAGAACAGUCUGGCCAACGUGGCAGACAGGAUGUAUAAGAUAAUCCUAUCUACCUAAAAUUGUUUAUACAUAUGUAGGCAAAAUAUGAAAAGAUGGUGACUAAAACAUUUGAAUGGCUUUCACAGUGAUGGGAGUUUUACUUUCUUCCUUAGGCUUUUCCAUAUUAAAUGAAGCUUAUACAAUUAGCUUAUAUAAUUUAUAUAGGCAGAAAAAAAGAUCAGCGAAAAACCUAAAAUAAUCAAAAGGUGAUUUUGAGAAUGUAAUGCUUUUAUUUAUAUUUAUGUAUUUAUUGUCUAUCUCUGCACGAAUAUAAAUCCAAGAGAGAAGGGACUUCAUUUUGUUCCUGCUGUUACUUAGUAACUAAUUCACAGAAAGUACUCAGUAUAUAUUUAUGAGUGAAAAAUGCACAGAAGCAAAGUACUUACCACCGUGCAGGGCUUACAUAUGCCAGCUACUGGUGUUUAAAAGCUCCCUAUGUCCCCAUUCCACCCACCUUUCAUCCCCCUUAGGAGCAUCAUUCUCUUCUGGUAAGUACGUAGGAGUCGAACAUAUUGAUCUCCUUUAGCCAGGAUAAAUAGUUAUUCAAACCUAUGAACUAUCUGGAAGCAAAGGGACAUUCCUGAAAGAAAUUGCCACCAUAAAGCAGAAUGCCAGCCGCACAGUGCCUACUAGCUCAUAGCUAAACAACGGAGAACUGCAGCCUUGAAACAGUGCCCCAAAGAGUUAAAGAAGUCUGUGACUAACAAAUUCUUGAGUUUGCAGGAUAGCAGAUGAGAAAAGAAACAACUUGCUGAAACUCCCUCCACUUGUAAUAUUAAAAAACUGACUGAAAUUGCUUGCAAUCAACAUGACUAACUGGAGUUUGUGCAGAAUGGUUUGCUAACAUCACAGCCUGAAUUUCCAGUGCAUGGUUCAUACAAACUCCCCGAGUUUGACAUAUGAUCCAUGUGGUGGCAUGAAGAGGUAACUGUGCAUGCCUCAGCACUUUCUAGACCUCCGCUUUCCUUCCGCCAAUCACCUACUAAUCCCAGAAUCCACCCAUGAAUUUUUUUCUAAUAAAAUUACUGCUUUAAACCUAGCACAGAGAGACAGAUUCGAGCUGGAUUCCUGUCUUUUUAGUCAACUUGCAAUAAAAAGCUUUUCUUU